rnacentral:lncRNA from 1 species
UUGAAUAUGGGUGACUAAUGUUUGGAAAUUUUGGUGAGUCAUGUUUGGUGAAAUUGAUGUGUUCAUAAUUAAUAUUAUGAAUUUUUGAGAAGAAAUUUAUGUGUGACUUGGUGGAAAAUGAAUUUAAUUCAAUUUAGGUGUGAAUGGAAUUUGGAGUUGUGAUUUAUGUGUGGUUGUGGAAAUUUUAAUUGGUGUGAAUAAAUAUGUUUGAGUAUGCUAUGUGUUGUGUUUGAAAAAUCAUUAGUGUUAAAUGAGUAUUAAAAAUGGGGAAUCUUUUAAUAGCUGCAUUUACUUAAUGAUUAUGGUGAAAAGAGUUAGAGUAUGCUCAUGCAUUUC